rnacentral:rRNA from 1 species
AACGAACGCUGGCGGCAGGCCUAACACAUGCAAGUCGAGCGCGCCCUUCGGGGUGAGCGGCGGACGGGUUAGUAACGCGUGGGAAUAUACCCGAAGGUAGGGAAUAGCCUCUGGAAACGGAGAGUAAUACCCUAUGUGCCCCCAUUUAGAGAUAUUUGGGGGGAAAGAUUUAUCGCCUUUGGAUUAGCCCGCGUUAGAUUAGAUAGUUGGUGGGGUAAUGGCCUACCAAGUCUACGAUCUAUAGCUGGUUUUAGAGGAUGAUCAGCAACACUGGGACUGAGACACGGCCCAG